rnacentral:rRNA from 1 species
UACGAAGGUCCAAGCGUUAUCCGGAUUUUAUUUGGGUUUUUAAAGGGUGCGUAGGCGGGCUAUUUUAAGUCAGUGGUGAAAGCCUCAAGCUAACUUUGAGAAUGCCAUUUGAUACUGAUGACCUUGAGUACAUUUUGAAGUGGGCGGGAAUGUGUCAUGUAGCGGUGAAAUGCUUUAGAUAUGACACAGAACACCGAUUGCGUAGGCAGCUCACUAAACUGUAACUGACGCUGAGCACGAAAGCGUGGGAGCAAACAGG